UACAGAGGGGGCAAGCGUUAUUCGGAAUUAUUGGGCGUAAAGGGUGCGUAGGCGGCGCGGUAAGUCGGAUGUGAAAUCUCGGAGCUUAACUCCGAAACUGCAUUCGAUACUGCCGUGCUUGAGGACUGGAGAGGAGACUGGAAUUUACGGUGUAGCGGUGAAAUGCGUAGAUAUCGUAAGGAAGACCAGUGGCGAAGGCGGGUCUCUGGACAGUUCCUGACGCUGAGGCACGAAGGCCAGGGGAGCAAACGGG
rnacentral:rRNA from 1 species